GUGCUCGCUUCUGCAGCACAUAUACUAAAAUUGGAACGAUACACAGAUUAGCAUGACCUCUGCAGAAGGAGGACAUGAAAAUUUGUGAAGCGUUUCAUAUUUUU
ensembl:snRNA U6 U6 spliceosomal RNA